ACGCUCGACACCUACGGGGGCAGCAGUGGGGAAUAUUGCACAAUGGGGGAAACCCUGAUGCAGCGACGCCGCGUGAGCGAAGAAGUAUUUCGGUAUGUAAAGCUCUAUCAGCAGGGAAGAAACUGACGGUACCUGACUAAGAAGCACCGGCUAAAUACGUGCCAGCAGCCGCGGUAAUCUGAGGCGGGCGUGGCGAAGGCG
rnacentral:rRNA from 1 species